rnacentral:rRNA from 1 species
CAGAUUGAACGCUGGCGGCAGGCUUAACACAUGCAAGUCGAACGGUAACAUAAAGAAGCUUGCUUCUUUGAUGACGAGUGGCGGACGGGUGAGUAAUGCUUGGGAAUCUAGCUUAUGGAGGGGGAUAACUACGGGAAACUGUAGCUAAUACCGCGUAGAAUCGAGAGAUGAAAGUGUGGGACCUUCGGGCCACAUGCCAUAGGAUGAGCCCAAGUGGGAUUAGGUAGUUGGUGAGGUAAAGGCUCACCAAGCCGACGAUCUCUAGCUGGUCUGAGAGGAUGACCAGCCACACUGGGACUGAGACACGGCCCAGACUCCUACGGGAGGCAGCAGUGGGGAAUAUUGCGCAAUGGGGGCAACCCUGACGCAGCCAUGCCGCGUGAAUGAAGAAGGCCUUCGGGUUGUAAAGUUCUUUCGGUAGCGAGGAAGGCAUUUAGUUUAAUAGACUAGGUGAUUGACGUUAACUACAGAAGAAGCACCGGCUAACUCC